CCGAGUUUACAACUCCCAAACCCCUGUGAACAUACCACUUGUUGCCUCGGCGGAUCAGCCCGCCUCCCGGUAAAACGGGACGGCCCGCCAGAGGACCCCUAAACUCUGUUUCUAUAUGUAACUUCUGAGUAAAACCAUAAAUAAAUCA
rnacentral:misc_RNA from 1 species